AGAGUUUGAUCCUGGCUCAGGACGAACGCUGGCGGCGUGCCUAAUACAUGCAAGUAGAACGCUGAAGACUUUAGCUUGCUAAAGUUGGAAGAGUUGCGAACGGGUGAGUGACGCGUAGGUAACCUGCCUACUAGCGGGGGAUAACUAUUGGAAACGAUAGCUAAUACCGCAUAACAGCAUUUAACCCAUGUUAGAUGCUUGAAAGGAGCAAUUGCUUCACUAGUAGAUGGACCUGCGUUGUAUUAGCUAGUUGGUGAGGUAACGGCUCACCAAGGCGACGAUACAUAGCCGACCUGAGAGGGUGAUCGGCCACACUGGGACUGAGACACGGCCCAGAUUCCUACGGGAGGCAGCAGUAGGGAAUCUUCGGCAAUGGGGGCAACCCUGACCGAGCAACGCCGCGUGAGUGAAGAAGGUUUUCGGAUCGUAAAGCUCUGUUGUAAGAGAAGAACGUGUGUGAGAGUGGAAAGUUCACACAGUGACGGUAACUUACCAGAAAGGGACGGCUAACUACGUGCCAGCAGCCGCGGUAAUACGUAGGUCCCGAGCGUUGUCCGGAUUUAUUGGGCGUAAAGCGAGCGCAGGCGGUUUAAUAAGUCUGAAGUUAAAGGCAGUGGCUUAACCAUUGUUCGCUUUGGAAACUGUUAGACUUGAGUGCAGAAGGGGAGAGUGGAAUUCCAUGUGUAGCGGUGAAAUGCGUAGAUAUAUGGAGGAACACCGGUGGCGAAAGCGGCUCUCUGGUCUGUAACUGACGCUGAGGCUCGAAAGCGUGGGGAGCAAACAGGAUUAGAUACCCUGGUAGUCCACGCCGUAAACGAUG
rnacentral:rRNA from 1 species